ACUUGAAAUACUGGUUCUCAUACAAUCACCAAAGUUAAGCAAAAUUGAGCUUGGUCAGUAGCAAGAUGGGUGACUGCUUGGGAAUACCUGGUGCU